rnacentral:rRNA from 1 species
GAUGAACGCUGGCGGCGUGCCUAAUACAUGCAAGUCGAGCGAACAGAUGAGGAGCUUGCUCCUCUGACGUUAGCGGCGGACGGGUGAGUAACACGUGGAUAACCUACCUAUAAGACUGGGAUAACUUCGGGAAACCGGAGCUAAUACCGGAUAAUAUAUUGAACCGCAUGGUUCAAUAGUGAAAGACGGUUUUGCUGUCACUUAUAGAUGGAUCCGCGCCGCAUUAGCUAGUUGGUAAGGUAACGGCUUACCAAGGCAACGAUGCGUAGCCGACCUGAGAGGGUGAUCGGCCACACUGGAACUGAGACACGGUCCAGACUCCUACGGGAGGCAGCAGUAGGGAAUCUUCCGCAAUGGGCGAAAGCCUGACGGAGCAACGCCGCGUGAGUGAUGAAGGUCUUCGGAUCGUAAAACUCUGUUAUUGGGGAAGAACAAAUGUGUAAGUAACUACGCACGUCUUGACGGUACCUAAUCAGAAAGCCACGGCUAACUACGUG